GUAGGGGGCAAGCGUUAUCCGGAAUUACUGGGUGUAAAGGGAGCGCAGACGGCAGUGCAAGUCUGGAGUGAAAGCCCGUGGCUUAACUACGGGACUGCUCUGGAAACUGUGCAGCUAGAGUGCAGGAGAGGCAGGCGGAAUUCCUAGUGUAGCGGUGAAAUGCGUAGAUAUUAGGAGGAACACCGGUGGCGAAGGCGGCCUGCUGGACUGUAACUGACGUUGAGGCUCGAAAGCGUGGGGAGCAAA
rnacentral:rRNA from 1 species